CUGCGUCGAGAAACAACAGAUCAUCCUGCUUGUGUUCGACUGGUAUUUGAGGGACCAAGACUUGGCCGCACUUUCCUCUGCAUAAUUAAGUGGAAGCCGGGUCUCCGUGGACGUCUGGAGCCGGCUGCGAUGAGGUGUGGGCGAGUCACUCUACCGCCGCUGUGACCCGCUGUGCCGUCUGCAGUUUAGCCUGCGGCAACUCACGGUAACCAGCGUCAUCAGAGGUUAGCGUCUGAUAGGGCCUUUGGCUGCGGGGGGCUAGGGUUCAGGGGUUAGGUUCCCAUUCCCACCCAGAGUCCUUCACACAUUCACAACACAUUCACAACACAUUCACAACACACGACCGGUACGACAGUCGCGGCGUAAGGCGGAACGGGACUAAAGCGAGUCGCGACGGCGCGAGCGGCGCGAGCGUGGUUGUUGUAAGCUCAUCGUCUUUGGAAGAGAGGAAACAAAACUGAAGAUGUUGAAGACGCAUUGGCUUGCCGGUAAUCAGCGCCAUUUUCCUGUUUUGCCGUUUGACUGUCGGAUUGUUUCCCCUCUCAUGGUGGUUUUGUUCGCAGGAUAUGUACUCGCUCACUGGAGCGGACAGCAGGCUCCUGCUCGCCCUGCACGGCUGCUGGCUCCAGCCGAGAAAAAGACGGUUAGUUGGUGUGGUGUGGGAUGAAGUCGCAGCGUAUUUGAUUAUGUGUUGGGUCUCAUUGACAGUCGGCCGCCGGCCGGACCGCGCCGCGACUCUGCCUGCUCGUUUCCCGUGGACAGCUGGACCAGCUCGUGGCAGCUGCCGCUGCCCUCAGCCGCCCUCCUGACCACUCCGCUCGACUCGGACGCAGCCUGGGAGCGUGAAGCAGUGCAUCAACGCGGCCUCGCCGCUGAGGACCUCGCGUCGUGCGGCCUCGCGUCUACGAGACCGCGUCGGCUGCGAUUGCAACAACCCACUGGUGACGUCCUGCCUGCCUCCCAGCGGAUCCCACGACGUCCGCGACGCACUGCUGUUUCAGCUGGUUUACUUUGAUACGUGAAACGAAACGUUUGCUUCUCCAGUUGCUUUUCUAGUUCCAGGCCAUAGUUCCAGUUCCGCUCCGGUCAGCAGGAGGCAGGAGGUCACCGCGGUCAGCGAGGGACGUGAAGGCACCGGGACACCACCAGGACCAUCCCAACGCCCGCCAUGGAGGUCUUGAACACUAACGCUGCUUCUUCAGCUGUCUUCCUUUCAAGCAACCGGAACAAUUACAACCAAUGCACAGGGUGAGCCUUAGCACCACUGGAGCGAAGAGAUGAGGAGCUGUUCGACUGGCGUGGGGCAGCGAAAAGAUCGCAUCUCAACAUUGCUGCUCAACCAGAUGGAAGCCAUCCCACUUAACAGCAGGACAAGAGAAUCAUUUGACAAUAUAAUAUAUCUAAUUGUAUCAUGUCAUUCAUCUGACUUCUUGACUUCUUUGUCUUGGAUCGUAGUAUAGAGCAUGGAUUUUGUUGUCUUGGAUCGUAGUAUAGAUCAUGGUAUAUGGCUCUUUGGAUUGUAGUAUAGAAUGGUGUUUGUUGUAUUGGUUCCCGUGUAUUAGUUUUUACAUUUUGGUUGGAUUUUGCAGGGUUUAUUGCUUAUAUUUUGUGUUGGGUGUAGAAAAAAAAAAUCUAAUCUCUUCCUUAUUUUCUUGACAUCAAAACCAUCUGCGUACUCCUGCAUCAUACAUCAUUUCAUAGAGAGCAAAACUGUAAAAUUUAUUACUGUUCAGAAUGUUAAGCAUUUUUCCAAUCAAUUCAGUACUUCCUAUUCAUUUUAAAUAUGUAGUGAAAUCAUCCUAUUGUCUCUUAUGGAUUCAGUCCCUCACUGUUGUCAACCUAUGGACCUUUCAGGUAUUUAGUAUUAAGAAUUUUUUACAAUGACCUUUUCAAAUUAGUCUGUCUUCAAAAUUGAGGGCUGUGUUUUGCCGAUAAAAUGUGAAGGAAGUUUAUAAUAUAUUUCCAUGGAAUUUUGAAGAGUUCAAAUUUAUUUAAUGGCAUAAAAGUUCAGACUAUCCUAAAUCUUCUAUGUAAACCCCCAUCAGGGUGUCGAGCACAUUUACCAGAGUUGAGCAUAUGCACCUUGAAUGAACUCGAUACUACCAUUUUCUGGACAUCUAUAUCAACGUUACUGUGCUCACUUGUAUCAUACAUCAUUAAGACCAAAGAGAAAAACUGUAGAUGGUAUUCGAGUUACUACGUAUUUUUUACUGAUAACCCAUAGUUCUAAAUGUACUUAUUCCUUAUUUUUACUAAAACUGACUUCAUCUAUUGUGCUACAUACAAAAGAUCGAAAUAAAUAAUCUAAUCUAAUCUAAUCUAAUCUAAUCUAAUCAUAUGCUUGUAAAUUGUUUCAUUGGUAUUGGCUGUUCAGCAAUUCUCAAAUGAAUUGAUUACUUCCUAUUUAGCAAUCUGUGCAAAUUGUUCGACCAUUUAUUAAGUUUCAUAUUACUCUAGUUCAUGUUCUGAAACUGAAAUUAACCAUACUGUUAAAGUACUGUCUCGUGUGGAAUUGUGUGCUCCUCGUUAACAUGUCAGCUAAUUUUUGAUAUUUUGCAUUUGAGACAAGGAACUCAACAAACUAGUUGGUACUGAAUGUGAAUGUAUGUAUCCUAUUGUGUCUUGGAAAUAUAAUUUAUUGGAAAUGCGA